UUGAUGUUUCCUUGGAUUCAGUUUGUGAGAAUUGAGUCUCCAGGAUGCAAGCCACUCCUGAGGACAUGGUUCUGUGGCUGCUUCUGUGGCAGACAAGUGUGGAGAAGGAGGGAGUCACAGGACUGGGCAGGGCUACAUGGCCUUGGGAAGCUGUCUGUUCUUCCUGAGCUUCCGUGUCCACUAGUCACCAAGGAGGUCCUGUGGAACACUGAACAGAAAGAUCCCUCUGCGAGUCAGCCAGUGCCUUCUGGAUCUGCUUCAAGGUCAUGUGCCUGCAACUUGGGCCUGUCUGACCCCUCGGGUUUGCCUCUUGGCUGAAAGAAAUUUUAUUGGCAUUUCUCUGACCACAAAGGAUGGUGAACAACUCUCUGGAAAGAAAGAAAGAAAGAAAGAAAGAAAGAAAGAAAGAAAGAAAGAAAGGAAGGAAGGAUGAUUUGUCUGCAUGUACACUUGAAUGCCAGAAGAAGGUGAUAGAUCUCUAUGUAGAUGGUCAUAAGUCACCGAGUGGUUUCUGGGAUUUAAACUCAUGACCUCUAGAAGAGCAGCCAGUACAAUUAACCACUGAUCCAUCUCACCAGCACAGGGAUGACAAACAUUUUAAACAUAUUUCUUUGUCAUUAUUGUAGCCUCCCUCUGCCCUGAAGCAGGCUGAUCCAGACUUUGACCUUGCUGCCACUGAGAAGGAAAUUACCUAAGGUCCUUCCUACCUAGAUGGCUCUUUUGUUCUGCCACCUGCCACUGCUCUCUCCAAGACACUGAUACCCGCUGAGAAGCUCCUGAGAUAUUCCAGAGGAACGUCCUAUCCUGCACGUCACCUAUAGGCUGGCUCCAGACACCAAGAAUGGACUGGCGGGGGAUGGGCCUUCCCCUUUUAUAAGUAGACUCUCUUAGUAAACUGGAGGGCCUUGAACAGAAUCAUGUCUUGAUCUCCAUUAAUCUCUUGCCUUCUAAGCCGCUUUCAGCCCCAGCCUGCCUCCCUGGUGUACCCGGUUCAAGUAGGCUGCAGGCCAGCAUACAACAAUUAUGAUCUUAUCUUUUGAGACCUCCCUUUUCAGAGCCACACUUCAUUUUUUAAUACUAUUGCUAUUUUUCUACAAACUAUAUAGUUCGUAACUGUAUUGUAAAUACUUAUGUUUAAAUCUACAGUAACACCCUCAGGGCUAAUCAAAGAAGAUUGUUUUGCAGCAGAGGAAGGCUACUGGAAAGAUCCACAACUUGACAAAAUGCAGAGAGAAAUUGACCUUGGGGUGUCCAUUAUCGAUUGAUAAAUCUACAACACAAUCCUUACCCCUAAGUCUCAGAAACCACUAUGGAAGAGGGAUGUGAAAGAUUGUAGAACAGGAGUUACAGAGACAAAAUUUGGAGCUGUGACGAAAGGAUGGACCAUCUAGUGAUUGCCAUAUGCAGGGAUCCAUCCCAUAAUCAGCUUCCAAACGCUGACACCAUUGCAUACACUAGCAAGAUUUUGCUGAAAGGACCCAGUUAUAGCUCUCUCUUGUGAGACUAUGCCGGAGCCUAGCAAACACAGAAAUGGAUGAUCACAGUCAGCUAUUGGAUGAGUCACACGGCCCCUAAUGGAGGAGCUAGAGAAAUUACCCAAGGAACUAAAGGGAACUGCAACCCUAUAGGUGGAACAACAUUAUGAACUAACCAGUACCCGGGAGCUCUUGUCUCUAGCUGCAUAUGUAUCAAAAUAUGGCCUAGUCGGCCAUCACUGGAAAGAGAGGCCCAUUGGACUUGCAAACUUUAUAUGCCCCAGUACAGGUGUAGUGGCUAUUCCUGGUUGUCAACUUGACAAUAUUUGGAAUGAACUACAAUCCGGAAUUGGAAGGCUCACCAGUGACCCUUAUCUGGAGGCUUGGAGAUCCUUAUCUGGAUCUUGGUUUGAAGAUCUUGAGCCGUAGUGGCUAUGGAUUCCAGAAGAUUGAAUCUCCGAGUUAAGGAACACACCUUUAAUCUGGGCUAUGCCUUUCAUCUGGGAUUAAAGGUGUGGUGGAACACACCUUUAAUCUGGGCUACACCUUCUGCUGGAGACAAUAUAAGGACAUUGGAAGAAGGGAGUCUAGCUCGAGCUCUUGCUCCUUCGCCUGCUUGCUGCGUGAGACUGAGUAACUGCUAGAUCCUUGGACUUCCAUUCACAGCUGCGACUGAACAAUUGUUGGGAAUUGGGCUGCCGACUGUAAGUCAUCAAUAAAUUCCUUUACUAUUUAGAGACUAUUCAUAAGUUCUGUGACUCUAGAGAACCCUGACUAAUACAGAAGUUGGUACCAGGAGUGGUUCUAGAGUAACAGAAGUACAAGGAUGAAUCUUUUAAAAUACUGGAAUUGGCUUGUUGAUCCACCAGCACUUUCAAAUAUUGAAACCUCUCCAGAUUCUCUCCCUCCUGGGAGCUCAGAGAAUUUUGAAGACCCAUGGUUGAAACUAUAUUCCGAACUUAAAGAAGCUAAUGCCCUUGAUUUUCUUAAUGAAUUAGGUGAUUCAGUGCACAAAGCUUUCUACAAGAUGGGGAAAAAAUCGAAAAAUGAUUUUACUGGCUGGCUGCUCUUAGUAUCUGUGGAAAAAAUGAUGAAUGAAAGGAAGGAGUUGUGUGAUAAAAUCGAAAGGCUCCAGACACAAGUAAACGAUCUAAAAGUUG